rnacentral:rRNA from 1 species
UAGGGAAUAUUGGACAAUGGGGGCAACCCUGAUCCAGCCAUGCCGCGUGAGUGAAGAAGGCCCUCGGGUUGUAAAGCUCUUUUGUCCGGAAAGGAAAGCUUCGGGUUAAUACCCCGGGGUUCUGACGGUACCGGAAGAAUAAGCACCGGCUAACUUCGUGCCAGCAGCCGCGGUAAUACGAAGGGUGCAAGCGUUACUCGGAAUUACUGGGCGUAAAGCGUGCGUAGGUGGUUGUUUAAGUCUGAUGUUAAAGCCCUGGGCUCAACCUGGGAAUGGCAUUGGAAACUGGGCAGCUAGAGUGCGGUAGAGGGUAGUGGAAUUCCCGGUGUAGCAGUGAAAUGCGUAGAGAUCGGGAGGAACAUCUGUGGCGAAGGCGACUGCCUGGACCAGCACUGACACUGAGGCACGAAAGCGUGGGGAGCAAACA